rnacentral:rRNA from 1 species
UACGUAGGGUGCAAGCGUUGUCCGGAAUUAUUGGGCGUAAAGAGCUCGUAGGCGGUUUGUCACGUCGGCUGUGAAAACCUGAGGCUCAACCUCGGGCCUGCAGUCGAUACGGGCAGACUGGAGUAUGGCAGGGGAGACUGGAAUUCCUGGUGUAGCGGUGAAAUGCGCAGAUAUCAGGAGGAACACCGGUGGCGAAGGCGGCAUCCUGGACCAACACUGACACUGAUGAGCGAAAGCCAGGGGAGCAAACGGG